AGAAAGAAUGCAAGAACUGCUAAUUCAUGCCCUCCGUAUUUACCUAUGCGGCUUUCUU
rnacentral:tRNA from 1 species